rnacentral:rRNA from 1 species
AACGUACGCUGGCGGCACGCCUAACACAUGCAAGUCGAACGAAGUAGCAAUACUUAGUGGCAGACGGGUGAGUAACAUGUGGGUAUCUGCCCUUUGGCCUGGAAUAACACGAGGAAACUUGUGCUAAUACCGGAUAAGUCUUUACGGAGAAAGCUUUAUGCACCAUUGGAUGAGCCUGCACUUGAUUAGUUUGUUGGUGGGGUAAUGGCCCACCAAGACUAUGAUCAAUAGCUGAUUUGAGAGGAUGAUCAGCCACAUUGGGACUGAGACACGGCCCAAACUCCUACGGGAGGCAGCAGUGGGGAAUCUUGCACAAUGGAGGAAACUCUGAUGCAGCGAUGCCGCGUGAGUGAAGAAGGCCCUUGGGUUGUAAAGCUCUUUCGUCGGGGAAGAAAAUGACUGUACCCGAAUAAGAAGGUCCGGCUAACUUCGUGCCAGCAGCCGCGGUAAUACGAAGGGACCUAGCGUAGUUCGGAAUUACUGGGCUUAAAGAGUUCGUAGGUGGUUGAAAAAGUUGGUGGUGAAAUCCCAGAGCUUAACUCUGGAACUGCCAUCAAAACUUUUCAGCUAGAGUAUGAUAGAGGAAAGCAGAAUUUCUAGUGUAGAGGUGAAAUUCGUAGAUAUUAGAAAGAAUACCAAUUGCGAAGGCAGCUUUCUGGAUCAUUACUGACACUGAGGAACGAAAGCAUGGGUAGCGAAGAGGAUUAGAUACCCUCGUAGUCCAUGCCGUAAACGAUGUGUGUUAGACGUUGGAAAUUUAUUUUCAGUGUCGCAGCGAAAGCGAUAAACACACCGCCUGGGGAGUACGACCGCAAGGUUAAAACUCAAAUGAAUUGACGGGGACCCGCACAAGUAGUGGAGCAUGUGGUUUAAUUCGAAGAUACGCGCAGAACCUUACCAACACUUGACAUGUUCGUCGCGACUCUAAGAGAUUAGAGUUUUCGGUUCGGCCGGACGAAACACAGGUGCUGCAUGGCUGUCGUCAGCUCGUGUCGUGAGAUGUUGGGUUAAGUCCCGCAACGAGCGCAACCCUCACUUUUAGUUGCCAUCAUUAAGUUGGGCACUCUGAAAGAACUGCCAGUGAUAAGCUGGAGGAAGGUGGGGAUGACGUCAAGUCCUCAUGGCCCUUACGUGUUGGGCUACACACGUGCUACAAUGGUAUCUACAACAGGAAGCAAAACGGCAACGUUAAGCAAAUCCCGAAAAGAUACCUCAGUUCGGAUUGCACUCUGCAACUCGAGUGCAUGAAGCUGGAAUUACUAGUAAUCGUGGAUCAGCGUGCCACGGUGAAUGCGUUCCCGGGUCU